rnacentral:rRNA from 1 species
UWUUUUWUWUUUAGAGGAACUUGUUUAUUAAAUUGAUAAUCCACGAGUAGAAGAACUUAAUUUUUUUUUAUGUAUUGUUGUUGUAAAAUUAUAUUAAUAGAUAUUAAUUGAUAAAUUUAAUUAAAAUUAUAAUUCAAAUCAAAAUGUAGAAUAAUUAAGAGUUUAAUGAGUUACAAUUAAUUUAAUAAUUGGAAUUUAAAAAUUUAAUUUAUAGAUAAAAUUGGAUUAAAAGUAAAUUUAUAUAAAUAUAUAAAUGAAUUAAUAUUUUU